rnacentral:lncRNA from 1 species
CCCCACCGGGAACAACGCUACUGACGACUGCAAGACCACCGAAGACAGCUACCAGGCAAUACUGGAUUUCUUUUUCAAGUUCCCGCAGUUCAGAGAGAAUGAGUUUUACGUGACGGGCGAGAGCUACGCCGGCGUCUACGUUCCUCUCCUAACACAACGCCUACUCCUCUCGAAUCCACCAGGAAUAAACCUGAAGGGUUACGCCAUCGGAAACGGAGCGGUGGAUUUCGAACUCUACGGCAAGGCGAUCCUCUUCUUCGCCUACUACCACGGCCUCUUGGGAGAUGACCUCUGGAACGAGAUCACGUCCAACUGCUGCAACGGCACUGUUUCGAAGGAGACAUGUGACUUC